rnacentral:tmRNA from 2 species
GGGAGUGAUCGGCCUCGAGGACUUGUACGCGGCCACGCGCUCAGGCAGAGUAUGCAAGGUUUGCUCUUAAAUCUUUCUUUGCAACUGAUAAGUGCAAACUUAUUCAACCGAGUUGUUCAGGCUUUUCGCCCGAUGCAACUCGCAACUUCCUACGCUUAACGCAUAGGACAUCCGAACAUUUGAUUCUCGCUGGAAUGUAAGGGUGUAAUAUUAGCGAGGCGAUGUUUUGUAAGCCCGACUUAACAUUCGAAUAUGGGCAAAAGUCCAAGUCCACGCCAGUAGGCGGGACGAGGCAACUAAGCCUGUCAACCGCCGGCCUCAAACAUAUCCGACCCGGGUUCGAUUCCCGGCACUUCCACUA